rnacentral:lncRNA from 1 species
GUUUGGUAAGUUUUCAGUCUCUCUGCUCUUCUUUGACGCAUGAGUGAUGAGUCCUGAGUUGCUCUGUUCUUGUCCGAGAUUUCAUUUUUUUUUGGUGGCCCGUGUGGAUUAGAGUGACUAGAUCGAGAUUUUUUCAGUUUCUCGGUGUGCUGGGUUUUGGUUCCGGUUUACUUUGGCUCAUUUGGUUGGUUUUUCUCUUUCGUGUUGAAUGUGGUAUCAAUCUUCCGAGCUUCUCUUUUUUUUUGUCUGUGUUUCAUUUGUUCCUUUUUUUUUGUAGGUGGACACUCUUUUUUCCUUUAUGGACAUUUUCCCAUUGGAUUUUCACUAAUUUUUUUGAUGAGGCUCGACCCUUAGUUAGCGUCCUUGUGCUUUCAAUGAUUCUUAGUUCUUAUUGUUCCUUUUUUCCUCAAUAAAAAAUUCAAUUCAAAUAGGAAAAGGUGAAGAAAU